GGUGUGGUAGCGCAGUGGUAGACGCGGGCGUGACGGCCGUACCUCUGGUUCGAUUCCAGACCACACCACCA
rnacentral:tRNA from 1 species